rnacentral:rRNA from 1 species
AUUGAACGCUGGCGGCAGGCCUAACACAUGCAAGUCGAGCGGAUGAAGGGAGCUUGCUCCUGGAUUCAGCGGCGGACGGGUGAGUAAUGCCUAGGAAUCUGCCUGGUAGUGGGGGAUAACGUCGGGAAACGUGCGCUAAUACCGCAUACGUCCUGAGGGAGAAAGUGGGGGAUCUUCGGUCCUCACGCUAUCAGAUGAGCCUAGGUCGGAUUAGCUAGUUGGUGGGGUAAAGGCCUACCAAGGCGACGAUCCGUAACUGGUCUGAGAGGAUGAUCAGUCACACUGGAACUGAGACACGGUCCAGACUCCUACGGGAGGCAGCAGUGGGGAAUAUUGGACAAUGGGCGAAAGCCUGAUCCAGCCAUGCCGCGUGUGUGAAGAAGGUCUUCGGAUUGUAAAGCACUUUAAGUUGGGAGGAAGGGCAGUAAGUUAAUACCUUGCUGUUUUGACGUUACCAAAAGAAUAAGCACCGGCUAACUUCGUG